AGAGUUUGAUCAUGGCUCAGAUUGAACGCUGGCGGCAGGCUUAACACAUGCAAGUCGAACGAUGAUUAUCUAGCUUGCUAGAUAUGAUUAGUGGCGGACGGGUGAGUAACAUUUAGGAAUCUGCCUAGUAGUGGGGGAUAGCUCGGGGAAACUCGAAUUAAUACCGCAUACGACCUACGGGUGAAAGGGGGCGCAAGCUCUUGCUAUUAGAUGAGCCUAAAUCAGAUUAGCUAGUUGGUGGGGUAAAGGCCCACCAAGGCGACGAUCUGUAACUGGUCUGAGAGGAUGAUCAGUCACACCGGAACUGAGACACGGUCCGGACUCCUACGGGAGGCAGCAGUGGGGAAUAUUGGACAAUGGGGGCAACCCUGAUCCAGCCAUGCCGCGUGUGUGAAGAAGGCCUUUUGGUUGUAAAGCACUUUAAGCAGGGAGGAGAGGCUAAUGGUUAAUACCCAUUAGAUUAGACGUUACCUGCAGAAUAAGCACCGGCUAACUCUGUGCCAGCAGCCGCGGUAAUACAGAGGGUGCGAGCGUUAAUCGGAAUUACUGGGCGUAAAGCGAGUGUAGGUGGCUCAUUAAGUCACAUGUGAAAUCCCCGGGCUUAACCUGGGAACUGCAUGUGAUACUGGUGGUGCUAGAAUAUGUGAGAGGGAAGUAGAAUUCCAGGUGUAGCGGUGAAAUGCGUAGAGAUCUGGAGGAAUACCGAUGGCGAAGGCAGCUUCCUGGCAUAAUAUUGACACUGAGAUUCGAAAGCGUGGGUAGCAAACAGGAUUAGAUACCCUGGUAGUCCACGCCGUAAACGAUGUCUACUAGCCGUUGGGGUCCUUGAGACUUUAGUGGCGCAGUUAACGCGAUAAGUAGACCGCCUGGGGAGUACGGCCGCAAGGUUAAAACUCAAAUGAAUUGACGG
rnacentral:rRNA from 1 species